rnacentral:lncRNA from 1 species
AUCAAUGUGCACGCUGGUGGUGCGUAAUAAGCACGGCACUCUGCCGUGCCCAGAGGCACGGUAGAGUAGCCGGUUCUGGAGUCGAACGGCAAGGGGUGUGUUUGCCUCUGGCAAGCAGCACAUGCUAACCAGGGGGGCUCUGCCGGUUGCAAUGGAGCAUCGCUGGAGGCCCUCAGAGCCCGGGCGGUGCUGCAACUCAAACGAUGUUGCCUAAGCUGCUGGUUGCACUGCCCGUGCUGCAUUGCAAUAGAGCUUCGCUGGGAUGAAUCAGCGCUGUAUUGAACCUCCUUCGGUGCAUUGAUACGGUCACAAGCUCUCAUGAGUACAGACCUCUGAAUAACAAACACAAAAAGUCACAACUUCCAAACAAAUUACAGCUCUUUCCCUUGAUAUGCCAUGCAUGACCAAGUUCGACCAGCAGCCAAAAUCAAUUCAGCAAUUAUGUAACCAAGCACUGCUCAGUCGAGGACAUGGAGAUCAGACAGCUUUAGGGCGUGCAGCAGUCCACCAACUUCAUCAACAUAUGAAGGUCUAGCAGAAGCUGCGGCAGAAUCCAGAUUCCGGAAUAAAUUGAGGCCCUGUUUGGUUCACAAGUCCUAGGAUUUUUUUAAUCCCAAUUAAGUCCCUAAAGUUUCCCUGCCUGUUUGGUUCCUGAGACUUAAGAUGGACUAAAAAAACCAUAUUACAACUAUAAGUCCCUACAUCCUUGAGAUUCUUAUUUCAUAAGUCCCAAGUGCCCAAUUUAAGUCCCUAUAAGUCCCUCUGUUUGGUUUAGAUGGGACUUAGGGACUUUUUUAAGUCCCUAAACCAAUAAGUCCCUGAAAACAAACACCCUCUAAUCAGUUCCAACUGCACUAGACAUACAGCAGAGCAAAAGUAGUUGUUGUAAUAGCCAUCAGAUAGCAGCAGAAGACUAUUUGUUCAACUGAUCACAGUUAGACCAUCUGAACUAUGAAUCUCCUCUGGCUGAAAAACAAAAUUAAAAUACUUGCAAAACAAAAAAGAUGUUAUAUUUUUAAAAUCCAUUUAUUCUUCUGUAUUGGUUCAUCCUCAGAAGUUGCAUAAGCUUCUCAUAGUAUUGAUCAAACAAUGUAGGCAAUACAGUUCGCAACUCAUCAUAGGUAUGAAGAACAAUUUUUUAAAACAACAUAAAAUACUACUCAAAAAAAUGAGACAACAGCCACCAAACAUCAGACAAAAUGAAGAUACCAAAAAUGUGAAACAUUUAUUUGGAGGACUCAGAAUAUGGGUGGUGAUAUAGCAGUAUGGUCAGCAAGGCAAACGAAUGCCAGUUACGACGAACGAGACCAAAUAUCAAUCUUCACCGUCCUCAACAAAAACCAAACAAUUUCAUUCAUUGUAUCUAAAACCAGGUUAUAAACUGCAAAAUUAAUGAGCAAAUUGUGCAUCUAAUGGUAGUUUGUACAGCUGAAAUUCAUGGUUUUGCUAACAUUCAUUCAUAUCUCCCGCUGCUCUCUGCACAGCUACCUUAUUCGUAUAUUCUACACAGAAGCAUAAAGCAGACACCAAAAAAGAAUAUUAAAUUGGGGAAAUCAACAUGGCUCAGACAUCCAAGGAAGGAAUUAGCAGCAUUAGCUCUCAAGCCUGGUAGGGCGAAAGCUCUUAGACGGCAACUGCGAAUGUUUUCAGAAACAAGCCUAAAUUUUAUCAUCAUCGCCAAUGAUUUACCCAAAUUUCAAAUCACCUACAGCAACUAGUACUAUAUUAUGGCUAUGCAAUCAAAAUGUGUAAUCACAAAAAACGGCUCUGUGUACCAACUGAUUCACAGCCACAGGUUCCUAUCAAAUGUGAAACGUCCAAGAACUCCCUCUCGGCACAAUGUAGCAUCUCCGGUCAAGGCUGUAGCUACCGGAGACGUGGCAUCGGGCCCAAUCAAAAACACCAAAACGAUCUAGGUUAAGAGAAAGAAUAGAAGGCGCUGCAUAAGUCCCUCAGAGACCCGUUUAAAAUCACGCACACAGCUGAAUCAAGCUGGUGCAAAUGGGUAUUUCCAUCCCAGACCAAACCACAGAGGUUAUGAUAAAGAGGACGGACACUUGCAGCGGCGGAGAAGCAGCUGCUGUUUACAGUGUCAUACGGCACUUCCUAUGGUCGAGAGCUCUUCACCGAGACGAGAUGAAUUCAAGAAACGAACGAACAUACGAGGCAAGAACCAUGUUAAAAGGGCGAUGCUCACUGGAAUGAGAAGUCGUUUUUGGUUUGAAAGCUCACGGCGACAUAUGCCACCACUGCCGAAAAACCUAUAUGAAUCAUCAUCGCGUCGCAUCUCAGGAAAACCAAGAAGAAAAGAGAAAGUGAGAACGGAAACAUCGGAAUAAAAAAGCCUCCAUCGUGUGUAAGAGCAUGAUUCGAUCAGCGGCGGAUGAAUCCGCCACACCGACAUUUUGAGAUGAACCAUCACGACCCAACCUACUUCGAUAAACGAAAAGAAAUCACCAGAGAAGACAAGGGAUCGGCAAUCGAAUUGGAGGGAAAGCUUCAGCGUGUGUAACAACAUGAAUCGAUCAACGGCGGACGAAUCCGCCUCACCGAAAUCCGCUAAGAUCCUCUCGGACCUGAAUCAUCACAAGCAAUCCCCAAUCAUACACCAAGAAAAUACGAAGAUGGAUAAAGGGAAGUACCAUGGAUGAAGGUUGGAAAGAAGUCGAGGCAGAUUGCGGCUAGGGUUUCAGGGCUGGGAUUUGAGGUUUGCUCUCGGUCUGACCAGCAUAUAUAGGGGCAAAAAUAGAUCUAGGUCUCCCUUCGAGGCCGUGCAAGACGAAGAGAGAUCUUCGCGCGUGGGCUGGGGUUGGGUUACGGGAGAGUCGACCGAUUUAGAGUUCAAUACGGCCCGUGGGUGGUUAGGGUGUGUGUUCGGUUUGGAGAUGGACUUGAGCUAAUUAUGGAUAACUAGUAU